rnacentral:rRNA from 1 species
CGCGUGGGAAUAUACCUAGUUCCAAGGAAUAGCCUCUGGAAACGGAGAGUAAUACCUUAUACGCCCUUCGGGGAAAGAUUUAUCGGAAUUAGAUUAGCCCGCGUUAGAUUAGAUAGUUGGUGGGGUAAUGGCCUACCAAGUCUACGAUCUAUAGCUGGUUUGAGAGGAUGAUCAGCAACACUGGGACUGAGACACGGCCCAGACUCCUACGGGAGGCAGCAGUGGGGAAUAUUGCACAAUGGGCGCAAGCCUGAUGCAGCCAUGCCGCGUGUGUGAAGAAGGCUUUCGGGUUGUAAAGCA